AUUGAACGCUGGCGGCAGGCCUAACACAUGCAAGUCGAACGGUAACAGGAAGCAGCUUGCUGCUUUGCUGACGAGUGGCGGACGGGUGAGUAAUGUCUGGAAACUGCCCGAUGGAGGGGGAUAACUACUGGAAACGGUAGCUAAUACCGCAUAACGUCGCAAGACCAAAGAGGGGGACCUUAGGGCCUCUUGCCAUCGGAUGUGCCCAGAUGGGAUUAGCUAGUAGGUGGGGUAACGGCUCACCUAGGCGACGAUCCCUAGCUGGUCUGAGAGGAUGACCAGCCACACUGGAACUGAGACACGGUCCAGACUCCUACGGGAGGCAGCAGUGGGGAAUAUUGCACAAUGGGCGCAAGCCUGAUGCAGCCAUGCCGCGUGUAUGAAGAAGGCCUUCGGGUUGUAAAGUACUUUCAGCGGGGAGGAAGGGAGUAAAGUUAAUACCUUUGCUCAUUGACGUUACCCGCAGAAGAAGCACCGGCUAACUCCGUG
rnacentral:rRNA from 1 species